UACGAAGGGGGCUAGCGUUGCUCGGAAUCACUGGGCGUUAAAGCGCACGUAGGCGGACUCUUAAGUCGGUGGUGAAAUCCUGGAGCUCAACUCCAGAACUGCCUUCGAUACUGAGGAUCUUGAGUCCGGGAGAGGUGAAGUGGAACUGCGAGUGUAGAGGUGAAAUUCGUAGAUAUUCGCAAGAACACCAGUGGCGAAGCGGCUCACUGGCCCGGUACUGACGCUGGAGGUGA
rnacentral:rRNA from 1 species